AUGAACGCUGGCGGCGUGCCUAAUACAUGCAAGUCGAGCGGAAUGAUGAAGAAGCUUUGCUUUCUUCUGAUUUUAGCGGCGGACGGGUGAGUAACACGUGGGCAACCUACCUUGUAGAUUGGGAUAACUCCGGGAAACCGGGGCUAAUACCGAAUAAUCCAUUUUGCUUCAUGGCGAGAUGUUGAAAGACGGUUUCGGCUGUCACUACAAGAUGGGCCCGCGGCGCAUUAGCUAGUUGGUAGGGUAAUGGCCUACCAAGGCGACGAUGCGUAGCCGACCUGAGAGGGUGAUCGGCCACACUGGGACUGAGACACGGCCCAGACUCCUACGGGAGGCAGCAGUAGGGAAUCUUCCACAAUGGACGAAAGUCUGAUGGAGCAACGCCGCGUGAGUGAAGAAGGUUUUCGGAUCGUAAAACUCUGUUGUAAGGGAAGAACACGUACGAGAGUAACUGCUCGUACCUUGACGGUACCUUAUUAGAAAGCCACGGCUAACUACGUG
rnacentral:rRNA from 1 species